AACGCGAAGAACCUUACCUGGGCUCGAAAUGCAGUGGACCGGGGUGGAAACAUCCCUUCCCCUUAAAAAGGCUGCUGCAUAGGUGCUGCAUGGCUGUCGUCAGCUCGUGUCGUGAGGUGUUGGGUUAAGUCCCGCAACGAGCGCAACCCUUAUUCGUAGUUGCCACCCGCAAGGGGGAACUCUACGAGGACUGCUCCGGAUAACGGAGAGGAAGGUGGGGAUGACGUCAAGUCAGCACGGCCUUUAUGUCCAGGGCUACACACGUGUUACAAUGCGCGGCACAGACUGUUGCGAACCCGCGAGGGGGAGCUAAUCGGAAAAAACCGCGCUCAGUUCGGAUUGCAGUCUGCAACUCGACUGCAUGAAGCUGGAAUCGCUAGUAAUCGCAGAUCAGCACGCUGCGGUGAAUACGUUCCCGGGCCUUGUACACACCGACGCGUA
rnacentral:rRNA from 1 species